rnacentral:rRNA from 1 species
AGAGUUUGAUCCUGGCUCAGGACGAACGCUGGCGGCGUGCUUAACACAUGCAAGUCGAACGGAAAGGCCCUUCGGGGUACUCGAGUGGCGAACGGGUGAGUAACACGUGGGUGAUCUGCCCUGCACUUUGGGCUAAGCCUGGGAAACUGGGUCUAAUACCGAAUAUGACCAUGCGCCUCCUGGUGUGUGGUGGAAAGCUUUUGCGGUGUGGGAUGGGCCCGCGGCCUAUCAGCUUGUUGGUGGGGUAAUGGCCUACCAAGGCGACGACGGGUAGCCGGCCUGAGAGGGUGACCGGCCACACUGGGACUGAGAUACGGCCCAGACUCCUACGGGAGGCAGCAGUGGGGAAUAUUGCACAAUGGGCGCAAGCCUGAUGCAGCGACGCCGCGUGAGGGAUGACGUCCUUCGGGUUGUAAACCUCUUUCAGCACAGACGAAGCGCAAGUGACGGUAUGUGCAGAAGAAGGACCGGCCAACUACGUGCCAGCAGCCGCGGUAAUACGUAGGGUCCGAGCGUUGUCCGGAAUUACUGGGCGUAAAGAGCUCGUAGGUGGUUUGUCGCGUUGUUCGUGAAAACUCACAGCUUAACUGUGGGCGUGCGGGCGAUACGGGCAGACUUGAGUACUGCAGGGGAGACUGGAAUUCCUGGUGUAGCGGUGGAAUGCGCAGAUAUCAGGAGGAACACCGGUGGCGAAGGCGGGUCUCUGGGCAGUAACUGACGCUGAGGAGCGAAAGCGUGGGGAGCGAACAGGAUUAGAUACCCUGGUAGUCC